rnacentral:rRNA from 1 species
CGAUACCUGCUCAGCAGAACGACCCGCGAACACGUGAAAACAACCUACCAUGCCCGGGAGCGGGCUCCGGCCAGCGACCCGGUGCUGCAACAAAAUCCGGCGCAACUGGCGUCAAGGAAAACUCAUCGGAAGCAAGGCGUCGGCUCGUUCGGCGCCGCGUGUCCGAAUACUCAAACGACUCUCGGCAACGGAUAUCUCGGCUCUUGCAUCGAUGAAGAACGUAGCGAAAUGCGAUACUUGGUGUAAAUUGCAGAAUCCCGUGAACCAUCGAGUCUUUGAACGCAAGUUGCGCCCGAAGCCUUUUUGGCCGAGGGCACGCCUGCUUGGGCGUCACACCCAGCGUCGUCCCCCACCAAUCCCUCUGGAUGGGAUGGGGGCGGAGAUUGGCCCCCCGAGCCCUCCGUGGCAUGGUCGGCAUAAAUGUUGGUCCCCAGUGGCGAACGUCGCGGUCAGCGGUGGUUGUAUACUCAUCCACCGAGGACAAAAUGACGUGCACGCCUCGUCGCUCAUCGGGCAAAGCAAACCCCAGGGAGCACGGCUU